GACUUACUUCCCCUAGGAUGUUGAGCCAGAACAUGUAUGAUUUCUACUCAUGCUCGCCUUUCCACCUGGAAUAUAAUCUCCCCAGAACAGCCCUAUCUUCUGAGAUGAAGAGACUUUGUCAAAAGCUGUGCCAUAGCCACAGCCUCCAGUUUCUUCACCUCGUGUCUCUGCUCCUUCCUAACCUCUCUCCUCUGGCGACUUCAUCUCUUUCCCUGUGAGAACGAAUGGCGUUCCAUUCCAAGUCUUCAAUCAGUGUGUUCUAAAAGGAGAGGAAGCCUAAGAGCAUGAGUCACCUUUAUUCCUGGUUGUGAACCCUGUUUGUUCUAGUGUGUGUUACCCUGGGGAACAGGAAAGGGAAAUGCAACUUCCAGGUUUCUUGCUAUUACAGUUGUUAUCAUCAGGAGACGCCCAGGCAUUCUGGAAGCUCUGCAUGAGAGCAGGAGCCACUGAUUGUUGCUGUGGCCGCCUGGAUCUACGGCAAAGAGCCAAGGGGAAAAAAAUUGCUUCACACCGUGUGCACCGACUCCCCCAGAGCUGGCACAGCCAGGGUGUCUGCAGAGCCAUGUAAAUCUUUCUCCAAGCAGUCUGUCUCUUUGGUAGCUAAAGAAACAGUGUUUGUUAUCCUUUAGUUUUUGGGAGACAGGAAAAAAUCCAGUGGCGACAGUCUCUGUUUCUGAUUGGAGAGCCAGUCAGCAAAACCUUCAGAAAGGAGAAGGCGGCUUCCACGGGGAAGGAGGGGUCCUGUCUCCUGCUGCCACUGUCAGUACUUUAGGGCCUCAGUGAGAGGACUUCCCACCAAGAACUUGGAACUCAAGUUGCCCUUUCGGAUUUAAACCUUGAAAUCAAUGCACAAUGGAUCCAAGUAUAGUUGUUCAGAUUCUUAGUAAAGAGGAAGAAUGACUCCCUGGGGGUCAAAAUCAUGCAGUAACCUAAAAAAAAUUAACCCCAAUUCAAGAAAAAACACAUCAGUCAGUAGCAGAGCUGGUCAGCCCUGAAAAGUUAGAAGAAAGAGGGUCUCCGAGGCAUGUGCUGGUGGUGUUUCUUCAAGUGUUUGUAGGUGAGAGGUGGUACUAGCCUGCCCGUUCUGGAGGCAGCCAAGUUGGAGUUGAAUGGGUUUACAUCUAUCAUGGCCUGUAAAUAUUUAUAACGUAAAACAGCCUCCCUCGUUUCUGGUUCUAUACUCUGCAAGCAACCUACUCUCACCAUCUGACUUCUCAAGUGCUAGUCACAGGACGAGAAUGUUUUGGCCCUUGGCCAUGUAUUUAUAUUUUUAUUCUACAUUUUAUGAAUAAACUGGUCUUCUGGUUUUGAAUCCCA